rnacentral:lncRNA from 1 species
AACUUUAUUGAGUGCUUUUGAAUCGUGCACUAUAAAGGAAAGGGUGAAAAUAAGGCAACACCAAUAGAAUGUGCUUAAUCUCUAUUUAAUUAAUAUAUAAGUUGAGACAAUAUACAAAAAAAAAUGCAAUGUACAUACUUUAAUAGUACACGAUACAAUAGAAAUUGAGAUAAAUAUAUCAUGAAUAUACAAUAGAAAUUGUGUCUAUCCUAGUUGCACUCAGGCUUUAGCUAAUCUUCCACAAACUCUAGAGUUUCCUUGUAGUUGGAGAACUGGUACAAUAUCAAGCUCGUGUUGAGCUUUUCUGCUUGUAUAUGGCACAUUAUGUGCACUAAUUACUUGGUAUUGGAUAUAAAGUCCUGACCUAUUUAAUCUCAUGCUUCAUGUGUUACCUAAAAUUNNNNNNNNNNNNNNNNNNNNNNNNNNNNNNNNNNNNNNNNNNNNNNNNNNNNNNUUGCUCACCUAAAAUCACUCUUUAAGGUCGCAGUCCCGUUGUCGAGAUGAACUAAAUAAUAAAUUUCAAGCUUGAUAUUGAAAGCUACUCCCAUAUUUCCCUUCAGCGUGUAUACACUUUAACCAAUAGAUCUUGAAAGACAUCAACAACUGUUGAACCUCGCAAUACAACAUUGUGAAAUCAAAGAGUACACACAUUAAAUUAUGGAGACUUUAAGUAACUAAAAAAUCUAAUAUGCCUCUUUGGAAUAUUGGCAGGAUCUUCCUUUAUAACCUUCGCCUAUGAAAUAAUCAUCUAUUUUGUACCCCCCCAUUGCAUUGCAUUACACUGUCCACUAUACCAUAUUUAAAAAAAUAGAAUUUAAAAUAUUUGAUCGGAUACAUCAAAUAUGGAAGUCUCCACUUUGAAUUUGGUGCCUCUGGCAGCUUGAACUUGAAGGUGUGCCAUGUGUUACCUGCAAUGAUGUGUCCAUUUACAAACAUAGUUAGCCACAACUCUCAACCUCACCAUUGAAAGUUAAAAUGUUUAUUAAAGUUAAAAGUUAAAAUGUUUAAUCAAGAAACAUACAUACAUGCUUAUUAUAGUUGCAGCCACAUGAUUAUGUGGUUAAAAAUUAUGCAGGCUGGAUCUUGGAGUUAUAACAGAACUGAAAAGUGGUUCCAAGUGCUCUUUAAUUUGUAAAAACAUUUUCAAAGUUAAUUCAAGAAUAUUACUUUCAUCAAAGAGAAUGAAACAAUGGUAACACUUUCUCAGCCCUGUCAUAAACAAUCCAGUUUAGAAUACAAUCUAAAAGGCUCAUUGACAUUAUGUAAGUGCUCACAUCCAAAUCCAUCAAAUUUCAUUCAAGCACUUUCCACAUUUUCAUUUACUGUUGCCCAAUUUAUGAUCUUUUUUUUCAUAUCAGAAAACUGAUAAUUGAAUGCCCAAUAAUUUCAAGAAACUAAAAAUUAGGUAAAUAAUCUUUUUACUUGAUAAUAGAUUAGGGAAAUCUCCGAAUAAUGUAGAGAAGUUCAAAAAACCAUUCCAGGAUCAACAAAAAUGAACUUAGAAAAGAGGACUCGCCCAUUUAAGAACCACCAAAAUCAUUACCAAAUCCUCAUUUACAAAUUAAGACAUCGGCAACUGCAACAUACAGAGCAACAUAGCAUCAAUGAGAUUGGUAGCAGAAUCAAAUCAAACAAAUAAAGAACCAUAGAAAGCUUAAUAAUCACUAUAUAAGCACUUUGGCUUUUAUGUUCCAACACUAUUUACUUGAUUGCUUGCAAAGUGAAGUCUUUCUUUUAAGUGAGGCCUUAAAUAUUCAAAGUGAAAAAAUCAUUCAUAAAUUUAUAAGAAAGCGAAAGUUAUAGAAAUAUUCAUAAACUAAAAAAUAAUAUAAGAAUUAGUUUUUGCAUCAAUCAACAUUUCAUAUAAUAUAUAUGCAUAAAUUGUGAUCCAAUGAAUCACCAAUAAAAAUCACAAUGCAACUUCGUAAAAGUAAUCAACAGUUACAACAUAACUACAUGUCUUUUCUCAAUGCAUAUUUAUCUCAUGAAUGACCAUUAACUUAAACAGAAUAAAAAAUCACAACUUUGAUUUAUAGUUAAAUAGUUAAAUUCAUAUGAAUGAAAGAUCUAUAUAAUUGAUGUACGAUAAGAAACUAAUAGAAGUUGGAAUCAGCAUGUUUCUUUCAAUGUGGUCAUGUUAUAAGUAGGUAAUUACCUUGAUUAAAAACUAUACCAUAAACAGAUUAGUGGAAAGUACACACACUUCUUUGAUAUAACUUUUUUAAGCUUGUGUAUUAAAAUAAUGAACAAAGUGAAAGCAUUAGACACUUCCAUCUGCACAUGAAUUAGAAGCAUUUCAGAGGCAAAGGUUUCAAAAUAAAUAAGGAACCAUAAAUAUAUUAUAAGCAUAAGUCUAUAACCUUACUUUUGAGAAGCAUGCAAUUCCUCAAAAUUAGGACCUCGAGCAAAUUUCUACCAAUGCAGCUGCCAAGUUUCCUGAGAGAAGAAUUCAACUAACAAAUUUAGGACCAGUAUAAGAAAGAAACACACUACUAUAAGAACUCAGCAGACCACCUCUAAAAGAAGCUUCAUGUAAAUAACAAAUCAAAAUAAGAAAAACAUAUAGUAGUUAUCAAACUCUAAUUCUAAAACAAAAAAGUAAAGCCAAAGAAAUACAAAAUUAGGGAUUAGAAAUACAAAUGAAAUAAAAUAGAUGGCUAUUAAAAAUUAGGUAUUUUGAAAAAGAAAGAGUAUACCCAGAAUCAAACAAUAACAUUGUCGUCGUUGGGCCGUGUGCUCUGCUUCAUCGAUCUUUGUCGUCGUUGGGUUUGUGAACCUGAACAAACAAUAACAUUCCCAAAAAAAAAAUUAAAAAUCAGAAUAUGAAAUUAAAUCAUGAAAUAAGGAAGGGAUUGAGAAGCAAGUUAAAACCUUUCUUAUUGACAAAGCUGAAGAAGCAUAUACCCAAAAUUUGAGGAAAAAAGUUGACAACAUAGAAAACCAUAUCAAAAACACGACAAAGAUAAACGUUGUUUUUGAAAAAUUUUGGAGGGGUUUUUGAAAUUUGAAAGCAUGAUGCAUUAGUCAAAGUUUGCAGAGAACACUUAGUUUUUCACCAAAAUGGAAGUUUUUGUUGAAGAUGGAGAGAAAGAAGACAUCAACAAAGCAGAAAGGGAAGAGAAAGAUUCUUUCCUUUUUCUUUUUUUAAAUUUUUUUUCUUUCUUUUUUCUGUUAUAUUGAAUUUUAAAAUUUGCAAAAUACAUUCAAUCAAACUAACUUAUUACUUAUAAAAAAGUUUAUAGAUAUAGAUUGAAUCUGAAAUAAAAAUUUUGAAAUAAAAAAUCUUAUUAAAAGUAAUAGUAUAUCGGUUUGGUUUUCUCCUCAAUUAAAGUUUACAAAUACUAAAUAAAACAAAUUAAAAUUGAUAUAAAUCUAAAAAAAAAAAUCUGAAAUUUAACAAAAUCAAUCAUAUUAUUGCGGUGGAGAAAAAAAUCCCACUAAAAACUCCUAAAAAGUAGGGAUUAUUAGCUAAAAGAUAAAAACAAAUCCUAAUAAAUAUGACAACUAAACAACAAUAUUUUUUAAAAAAUAGAAAGAGGCAAAUAGAAAAAUAUGCUAAUCUAAAUUGAUAAGGAAAAACUUUUCACGN